UACGUAGGGGGCGAGCGUUGUCCGGAUUUAUUGGGCGUAAAGAGCUCGUAGGCGGUUUGGUAAGUCAGGUGUGAAAUCUCCACGCUCAACGUGGAGGGGCCACCUGAUACUGCCAUGACUGGAGUCCGGUAGAGGAGUGUGGAAUUCCCGGUGUAGCGGUGAAAUGCGCAGAUAUCGGGAGGAACACCCGUAGCGAAGGCGGCACUCUGGGCCGGUACUGACGCUGAGGAGCGAAAGCGUGGGUAGCAAACAGG
rnacentral:rRNA from 1 species